rnacentral:rRNA from 1 species
UACGUAGGUGGCAAGCGUUAUCCGGAAUUACUGGGCGUAAAGAGUGCGUAGGCGGUUUGUUAAGUCUGAUGUUAAAGCCCGGAGCUCAACUCCGGCCCGCAUUGGAAACUGGCAAACUAGAGUACAGGAGAGGUUAGUGGAAUUUCAUGUGUAGCGAUGGAAUGCGUAGAUAUAUGAAGGAACACCAGCGGCGAAGGCGGCUAACUGGCCUGAAACUGACGCUCAUGCACGAAAGCGUGGGGAGCAAAUAGG